UACGGAGGGGGCUAGCGUUGUUCGGAAUUACUGGGCGUAAAGCGCACGUAGGCGGCUUGGCAAGUCGGAUGUGAAAUCCCUCGGCUCAACCAAGGAAGUGCAUCCGAAACUGCUGAGCUUGAGUACUUAAGAGGAUCGCGGAAUUCCCGGUGUAGAGGUGAAAUUCGUAGAUAUCGGGAGGAACACCAGUGGCGAAGGCGGCGAUCUGGGAAGAUACUGACGCUGAGGUGCGAAAGCGUGGGGAGCAAACAGG
rnacentral:rRNA from 1 species